rnacentral:misc_RNA from 1 species
AAUAAACGAUAUUCAGCGAUACCCAUCGUCAUGGUUUUCAGUGAACAUGAAAUGGUUUCUCAGCACAAACGCUAUGAUGCAAUCAUCAUCUACAGCCGUCAAGACAAGGACAAAGCUAUCACACUUCUAACGAGGUUGAAAGACGUCAUAGGCAACGAAGCAGGACUCCAUGUUGCUCUCUUUGAUGACCCUCAUUUCUCCUGUCUGGAGGAGGCAUUACAAGCUAGUUCUAUUGCAUUUUUGCUCCUGACCAAAGACUUCUGCGAGAACGAUUGGCCUUCGUUAUGCAACAACAUAAUGUUUGCUCAGACGCUUUAUACACAAAGACCUUGCACUAUCACUCCAGUUGUCCUUCCUAACAAGUUUGAAGAUCAUGUCAAAAUUCCAAUGGGAUUAAAAUGCAUUAAACAAUUUCGACUGGAUUUUGAAGAUGAACUAGUGAAAAAGAGUGUGACAAGAAUUUUUAAUGUAAAAGUUAGGGAGUGAAUCUCAAGCAUGAAUUUAGCGUUAUGAUUAACGCAUUGAAAUAAUAUCAAAAUGGCAGCUCGUUGGGCAUUGUUAAUUUCAAGAAAAUGAAUUAAAGGUUAGUUCAAAAGCAUUAAAAUUACCAGUAAUAUCAAAAUGGCAAUACGUUGGGUAUUAUAUAUAUACUGUUAACUUUAAGAAGAUGUAUCUUCUUAUGGUUAUAUUUUUUAACAAAAAUUGUUUUAUUUAUGCAUUAUAAUACAUGUAACACUAAAUAAAAUUUUAUAUGUUCAACUU